rnacentral:rRNA from 1 species
CAAACGACUCUCGGCAACGGAUAUCUCGGCUCUCGCAUCGAUGAAGAACGUAGCGAAAUGCGANACUUGGUGUGAAUUGCASAAUCCCGUGAACCAUCGAGUCUUUGAACGCAAGUUGCGCCCSAAGCCAUUAGGCAGAGGGCACGUCUGCCUGGGCGUCACA